CUCGGCCUGAACCUGGCAUACAAUGUAGAUUCCUGUGUUGUUUGAGCUACAGCUACAUUGUCUGCUGGGUUUCAGGGGGGUCUC
rfam:Scleropages formosus scaffold8620, whole genome shotgun sequence.